rnacentral:rRNA from 1 species
ACCGGCAGCUAGCUCUCUGCAACUCUCACAUGGUCACCCACUGAAAGUAAGCAGGGCUGCGCCCAGUCAGUACCUGGAUGGGAGGCUACAUAGGAAAGCUAGGUUGCUGCUGGAA